rnacentral:misc_RNA from 1 species
GAGAAUCAUCUCUUUCUACACUAACAUAUAGGAUUUUAUGUGUCUUCUUUGUCUAUGCAAGUGAACCAUGAAAGAAUAGAAAUUAUCAAACUAAGAAAAUUAAACAGGGCAAAGCUCUUCAAAGAAAAUCCUAUUGAACAUCUUUGCAUAGUUUAAAAUAUCUCCUAUAGAUGUAUAAUUCUCUGCCAGAUUGCAUUUGCGAAUUACUGUAUAUCACAUCAGUAGCUUAUAUCUGCUUAAACCAUCUUGUGGUUUUCUUGAGUAAGUAGAUAUCACUCUAAAUAAUUAAUCCAACCUUCACAAGGGAUUUUACACCAUUGUAGAAUGCAUGCACCAUUAGUUGUUCUAAUCUUUACUAUAGUCUAUAUGGCAUUCAACCAACCUAUUAGAAACCAAAUUAUUCUAGGAUAUUCAUGUGUCAACUCAAUCAAUGUUGGUUAAUUCACUAGCAUUACAUAUAAAUUGAAUUGUUAAAAAAAUAAGCACAGAUUGCAUGAAUAUUUAUAUAAAAUGGAAAAGAUGAUGACUAAAACAGCACCCCUAUAAAGCAUAAAACAAAAAUGAAAUUUAUAGUUACAAUUUUUGGAGACAACUGUUGAUAACUGCAGUGCCUACUAUAUCAUUGAUUUGUCAACAAGUUUGUGUCAUGUCACUUUGUCAGGCCAGAAUUCGAAAUCUUUAUUAUUAAAAUCAGAGCAUCAUGGCCUUUAUAAAACUAUUCAAUCAGCAAGUGUGAAAUUAUUGUAGGGUCACCACUUGGUAAAAUAAGGUCAAACUCCUCAGAUUGUAACCAAAAGGAUGCAGGUUCAAGUCUUGGGAGCAAUCAAUGUAAAAACGCCAAACCUUUACAUAAGCAAUCACAAACUAGCUAAAUUCCUAAGUUACAAGUCAGACUUAAAAUUUAUCUGCUAAAGCCUAAUCCUUCACUCAAAGUUCUCUAACUUCUAACAAUAAACCUAAGCUUCUAAGACUCACAUCCAGCAAAUUCCAAAAAUCAGAAAUGUUUUAUUCUUUGUAGAGAAGCUACUUAAAAGUUUUAAAUAACAGAAUUGAUCAUGUGUGGUAUUGUAGCUUUGGACCCUAUCUGUCAUAUCUGA